rnacentral:lncRNA from 1 species
AAUAUUUAAUGGUUUAAAAUGAGUUGUAAGUUGAAAACGUGGUUAAAGUGUGUAAGCUGAAGAAUUAAAGGUGGUGUUUGUGGAAUUGUAACGUCUAGAAAUAAUAAGCCUUCACAAAUCAAUGUGCAAAUGAAUAUGUAACCUCCUCAUGCAUUGAUUAGCCACCAACUUAGAGAGUCAUUUUGUAACCUCUUAUUUGCAUUAAUCAGCCAC